ACUAAAUAGGAUUCUCUUAGUAAUGGCGAAUGAACUGGGAUGAGCUCACCAUGGGAAUCGGGGUCCUCGACCUUGAAUUGUAGUCUUGAGACGCACUGCCAACAAAGGCGCAGGUGUAAGCCUCUUGGAAGAGAGCAUCGCAGAGGGUGAGAGUCCCGUCUGUCACCUGCAGCCCCUUGUGUACGGCAUGCGUUCUGAGAGUCACGUUCCUCGGGAUUGGAGCGCAAAUUGGGUGGUAAGUUUCACCUCAAGCUAAAUAUUGGUCCGAGACCGAUAGCAAACAAGUACCAUGAGGGAAAGGUGAAAAGGACUUUGAAAAGAGAGUUAAAAGUGCUUGAAAUUGCUGAAAGGGAAGCGAAUGGAACCAGUUCUGCUGGGCGAGAUUGUCGCAUGCCAAGGCCUCGUGCCGGCCGCAUGCGGUGCUUCUUGCCUUGUGUGUCAGCUGCGGUCCGAAGUCGGGGAAAACUCUGGGGACAUGGAUGCCAACCUCCGGGGGGGUGAAUGUGCCUGGCAAGACCCGUCCUCGGACCGUGAGCAGUGCUUCGGCAUGUUUGCGGUGCUGACGAAAUGCUUCUAUUCGACCCGUCUUGAAACACGGACCGAGGAGUCUAACAUGUGUGCGAGUUCACGGGUGUCAAACCUGCUUGCGCAAUGAAAGUGACUGCUGGGAUACUUGCACCAGCAACCGAUCUGUCAACCGAGAGAGAUUUGAGUUUGAGCAUACCUGUUAGGACCCGAAAGAUGGUGAACUAUGCUUGUGUAGGGCAAAGCCAGGGGAAACUCUGGUGGAGGCUCGUAGCGAUACUGACGUGCAAAUCGUUCGUCAAACAUGAGUAUAGGGGCGAAAGACUAAUCGAACCAUCUAGUAGCUGGUUCCCUCCGAAGUUUCCCUCAGGAUAGCUGGAGUUGAACAGUUUUAUCAGGUAAAGCGAAUGAUUAGAGGAAUCGGGGACGUGUUGUCCUCGACCUAUUCUCAAACUUUAAAUGGGUAAGAUCCAACAGUUGCUUAAUUGAACUGUUGGGGCAAAUGUGAACUCUAAGUGGGCCAUUUUUGGUAAGCAGAACUGGCGAUGAGGGAUGAACCUAACGUUGGGUUAAGGUGCUUAACUGCUCGCUCAUCAGAUACCAUAAAGGGUGUUGGUUCAUUUUAACAGCAGGACGGUGGUCAUGGAAGUCGAAAUCCGCUAAGGAGUGUGUAACAACUCACCUGCCGAAUGGACUAGCCCCGAAAAUGGAUGGCGCUCAAGCGGGUGACUGAUACCCAACCAUUGUUGCAAUUGUGCGGCAUCAAUGAGUAGGAGGGCAUGGGGGCCUGUGAUGAUGCUUUUGGCGUAUAGCCUG
rnacentral:rRNA from 1 species